UACAGAGGGUGCAAGCGUUAAUCGGACUUACUGGGCGUAAAGGGUGCGUAGGCGGAAGGAUAAGUUAGUUGUGAAAGCCUGGGCUCAACUCAGGAAUAGUAUUCGAAACUGGCAGACUUGAGUACGGGAGAGGGGGGUGGAAUUCCUGGUGUAGGGGUGAAAUUCGUUGAUAUCAGGAGGAACACCGGCGGCGAAGGCGGCCCCCUGGCCCGCAACUGACGCUCAUGGUCGAAAGCGUGGGGAGCAAACAGG
rnacentral:rRNA from 1 species